GCGAGCCGAUGGGUGGCUCUCGGGGUUCUCCUGAGGAAACACCGUCCAUCAGAGGGGUCGCAGGUCCGAAAUGGGCUCGAUUGAGAAAUCGGACUCUGGAGCAGAAACGAUACCCGUUAACUCGCGCCAUGAUACAGGUGAUGUUGAGGUCGAGUUAACAGGGAUGAAACGGCCAAUCUGCGGGAUGCAAGGGCAAGAAAUCGCUGAUGAAUCCCUCAUAGGCGAGUGGUAGUCCGCUAAGCUAAAUGCCACUUAAAACAGAAGACGGGUUACGGUCGGCACGC
rnacentral:RNase_P_RNA from 1 species